rnacentral:rRNA from 1 species
AUUGAACGCUGGCGGCAGGCCUAACACAUGCAAGUCGAGCGGGGUUUUCGGACCUAGCGGCGGACGGGUGAGUAAUGCGUAGGAAGCUACCCGAUAGAGGGGGAUACCAGUUGGAAACGACUGUUAAUACCGCAUAAUGUCUACGGACCAAAGUGUGGGACCUUCGGGCCACAUGCUAUCGGAUGCGCCUACGUGGGAUUAGCUAGUUGGUGAGGUAAUGGCUCACCAAGGAGACGAUCCCUAGCUGGUUUGAGAGGAUGAUCAGCCACACAGGAACGGUGACACGGUCCAGACUCCUACGGGAGGCAGCAGUGGGGAAUAUUGGACAAUGGGCGCAAGCCUGAUCCAGCCAUGCCGCGGGUGUGAAGAAGGCCUUCGGGUUGUAAAGCACUUUCAGUAGGGAGGAAGGGUUAAGUGUUAAUAGUACUUAACUUUGACGUUACCUACAGAAGAAGCACCGGCUAACUCUGUGCCAGCCGCCGCAGUAAAAC